AAGUCGUAACAAGGUUUCCGUAGGUGAACCUGCGGAAGGAUCAUUAACGAGUUUUGAAACGAGUUGUAGCUGGCCUUCCGAGGCAUGUGCACGCUCUGCUCACCCACUCUACCCCUGUGCACUUACUGUAGGUUGGCGUGGGCUCCUUAACGGGAGCAUUCUGCCGGCCUAUGUAUACUACAAACACUUUAAAGUAUCAGAAUGUAAACGCGUCUAACGCAUCUAUAAUACAACUUUUAGCAACGGAUCUCUUGGCUCUCGCAUCGAUGAAGAACGCAGCGAAAUGCGAUAAGUAAUGUGAAUUGCAGAAUUCAGUGAAUCAUCGAAUCUUUGAACGCACCUUGCGCUCCUUGGUAUUCCGAGGAGCAUGCCUGUUUGAGUGUCAUGGAAUUCUCAACUUAUAAAUCCUUGUGAUCUAUAAGCUUGGACUUGGAGGCUUGCUGGCCCUUGCGGUCGGCUCCUCUUGAAUGCAUUAGCUCGAUUCCGUACGGAUCGGCUCUCAGUGUGAUAAUUGUCUACGCUGUGACCGUGAAGUGUUUUGGCGAGCUUCUAACCGUCCAUUAGGACAACUUUUUAACAUCUGACCUCAAAUCAGGUAGGACUACCCGCUGAACUUAAGCAUAUCAAUAAGCGGAGGAAAAGAAACUAACAAGGAUUCCCCUAGUAACUGCGAGUGAAGCGGGAAAAGCUCAAAUUUAAAAUCUGGCGGUCUUUGGCCGUCCGAGUUGUAGUCUGGAGAAGCGUCUUCCGCG
rnacentral:sRNA from 1 species